GACGAACGCUGGCGGCGUGCCUAAUACAUGCAAGUCGAACGCAGUGGGGACGGGUGAGUAACACGUGGGUAACCUCCCAUCAGAGGGGAUAACACUUGGAAACAGGUGCUAAACCGAUACUGAUGGAUGGACCCGCGGUGCAUUAGCUAGUUGGUGAGGUAACGGCUCACCAAGGCAACGAUGCAUAGCCGGCCUGAGAGGGUGAUCGGCAACAUUGGAACUGAGACAGGGCCCAGACUCUAACGGGGGGAAGCAUUGGGAAAUCUGCGGCAAGGGACGAAAGUCGUAGGGGGAAAGGCGGCGUAAUGUAAGAGGGUUUUCGGUUGUUAAAACUCUGUUGUUAGGGAAGCGGUAUCGAACCAGAAAGCCACGGCUAACUACGUGCCAGCAGCCGCGGUAAUUC
rnacentral:rRNA from 1 species